rnacentral:rRNA from 1 species
UACGGGGGGAGCAAGCGUUGUUCGGAUUUACUGGGCGUAAAGGGCGCGUAGGCGGCCACCGCAAGUCGACUGUGAAAUCUCCGGGCUUAACUCGGAAAGGUCAGCCGAUACUGCGGGGCUAGAGUGCAGAAGGGGCAACUGGAAUUCUCGGUGUAGCGGUGAAAUGCGUAGAUAUCGAGAGGAACACCUGCGGCGAAGGCGGGUUGCUGGGCUGACACUGACGCUGAGGCGCGAAAGCCAGGGGAGCGAACGGG